AGAGUUUGAUCAUGGCUCAGGAUGAACGCUGGCGGCGUGCCUAACACAUGCAAGUCGAACGGAGUUAUUAUCAUGAAGUUUUCGGAUGGAAUGGUAAUAACUUAGUGGCGGACGGGUGAGUAACGCGUGGGUAACCUGCCUCAUACAGGGGGAUAACAGCCGGAAACGGCUGCUAAAACCGCAUAACAUUGCGACACCGCAUGGUGAUGCAAUUAAAUAUUUAUAGGUAUGAGAUGGGCCCGCGUCUGAUUAGCUAGUUGGUAGGGUAAAGGCCUACCAAGGCGACGAUCAGUAGCCGGCUUGAGAGAGUGACCGGCCACAUUGGGACUGAGACACGGCCCAAACUCCUACGGGAGGCAGCAGUGGGGAAUAUUGCACAAUGGGGGAAACCCUGAUGCAGCGACGCCGCGUGAGUGAAGAAGUAUUUCGGUAUGUAAAGCUCUAUCAGCAGGGAAGAAAAUGACGGUACCCAAGGAGGAAGCCCCGGCUAACUACGUGCCAGCAGCCGCGGUAAUACGUAGGGGGCGAGCGUUGUCCGGAUUUACUGGGCGUAAAGGGUGAGUAGGCGGUUAUGUAAGUCAGAUGUAAAAGGCGUAGGCUCAACUUACGUAAGCAUUUGAAACUGCAUGACUUGAGUGCAGGAGAGGUAAGCGGAAUUCCUAGUGUAGCGGUGAAAUGCGUAGAUAUUAGGAGGAACACCAGUGGCGAAGGCGGCUUACUGGACUGUAACUGACGCUGAGUCACGAAAGCGUGGGUAGCAAACGGGAUUAGAUACCCUGGUAGUCCACGCUGUAAACGAUGAGUGCUAGGUGUUGGGUAGCGAUACUCAGUGCCGAAGUAAACACAAUAAGCACUCCGCCUGGGGAGUACGGUCGCAAGACUGAAACUCAAAUGAAUUGACGG
rnacentral:rRNA from 1 species